AGAAGUUACAGUUUUGAAAUACCGUGUUUAAGAAAAAGAUUGAUAGAAGUGUAAUUUUUAAUCAUAUUUAUGUGACUGGAGUUAAUGAUAAAAGUCAACUAUUGGACGGUAGUGUUGAUAAUUACAAAGAAAACUAUUCGUGAAAAUACUGUCGCGGUCGCCAGAUUGUCGAAUUCCGGACGCUGAUUGACAAUUCAAAUGGAAAUGAAAAAGGCAAGGGGAGGAGAGAAUUAUGGGGGCAGUAACUGUGUAAAACCGUCAAAAAGGCAUGUUAGUGGGUCAGGAUACUGCAUGGCAUAAACGGGGCUUUGACAGAAUAAAAUCACACACAUUCUUGUUGUCCAACCAAAAGUAUGGAGGGAAGAUAGUGAAGUAGGUCAUGUCUUAGCGUAUCUGUGAAACGUGCCAGUGGUGGCGAAGAAACCGGACAUGCACAUGGCUGUGUCAACAAGAUUACUGGAGUGUCAGUGGUGAGAAGGGACUCAAGGAGCUUAUUGAAGAGGGCACGCCUGUUGAGAUUUUAGAGGGUGAUGGAGAUAAUAAUUUAGUUUAAUGCGUGAAAAGGAACUUAAACCUUACACUACAGAAACAUUUUGAUAAAAUCAUGUCAAGAACAUUUUCAUAAUGAAGAACUCAGACUGUCAGCCCAGGGUCACAAAUACCAUGCGGGUAUUUUUUAUUCCAAACCUGGCGGAGUUAUGCAAAAAUCGACCAUCAAAAUCAUGUUUAUAUUUUGUAUAUACACUGUACUAACAAGUUUUAUGUUAUUAAUCACUAUUCAUUGAUGAAGCUAUUUUCCUUUUAACUGGUAUGAUUGAAUGAUUUAAUAUGCCAUAUUUUUUUAUUUUGAAUUGUUUUAUUUCCCCUGUCAUAUGUUCAAGUCUUUUACUCAUUUUUAUCUAUUUUUGAACAUUUGAACUCCUCGAUAUGCUCACAUGUAAAAAGUCGCAAAUUUAGUAUGGUGUUUCUGGCAAAUGGGGGUACCCUUAAUUGUGAUGCAGGAACUUUUUAUUUUACUGGUGACCCUUUUGAAUAGUUCAGGCUAAUGUAUAGUUUUAAUCAUUUUUUUGAUAAACCAAGUCAAGAAUAUUUCAUGAACCAUUUUUGAAUUCUUUGGAUUCAUGAAAAGUUCUUCAUUAGUUCUUAAAAAAGGCAAAAAUAUUCAAAUUAAAGUAAUUAAAGAACUGGUACGUUUUGUAUCUUGUUGGUUGAUUAAUUAAAAUAGAUAAUUUUUAGCAAGAAUGAUGUCUGGCUGAACUUGUGCAAAUAUGGUUGGUUGCCUGAAGUAAAAAAAAAGAAGCUUACAAGUAGAUGAAAUUUACACGGUUAUCAUGUAUAAAGUAUGCAAAGAUCAAGUAUUUUAAGUAUAAUAAUAAUAAUCUUAAAUGUUACUAACAUUAAUCAGUAUGAAAAUAAAGAACUUACAAAAUUAGUAUGCUAGACAUUUCAAUAUUACUUUCGAAAAUAUGUAUGAAACAUCUAGCACAAAGGAAUUCAUGAAUUAUUCAUGAUGGAUCCUCAAAGUCUGUCUCAGAAAAGUCAUUAGAAAUAAUUGUUCAUGAAAUGUUCAUCACUAAGUAUUUAUGGUUAGAUGAAGAACUGUUCAUGAACUUCGAAGUGUUCAUCAAUAAUUCAUAAACUGUUCAUGAACUUCUUCUAAGAACAGUUCAUGUCCAAAAGUUUGUGAACCAAGCUCAGGAACUUUUCAAGAACCGUUCAUGAACAGUUCAUGAUUGGCUUGAAGUGUUCAUGAAGUCAUGAACAACAUUUCGCAGAGGAUGUUUCUAAAAUGUUGCACAUUAAUAAAUAAAGGGCAAUAUGAAGUUUAUGCAUAAACUAUAUACUUUUGGGUAGGGGUUUUCACUGUUUGGAGACUGCUGUACGUAUUGCGGCAUAAGUGUUAAAGGUUUGUUUUAGAAAGCAACAACACAAAAGUUCUGAAAAGUAAUGCUCAAACUUAAUCCCCAUCCCUUGAAAUUCUGUCAAAGCUUUGUUUUGAAAAGCACAACACAAAAAUGCUCUAAAUAUGACAUUGUUUGUUAAAACUAAGUCAUCCAAAUAGAAAGUUUUUACAUGUGGCAAUCGCUUUCUUGGUAUGGCUUCUAAAUUGCUAACAUGCAGAUAGUUUCUGCACAUGCCUAGAUUAAAAUGUAACCACAGCAGUAAGAAACAUGCCUAGUAUUCAGUGUAUGGCUUCCUGUUGAAUGUCUUUGACCUGUAUUUUUGUUGUGUUUUUGUUUUCUUGUUAUUAUUUUUGUGA